AAGUUGCUGUUCACAUACAUUUUUAAGAUCUAAAAUUUAGAUUUAAAUAUAUGCUAGGAUCUAUUUUUAUAUUAGAUGUAAAUAAUCUGGAUAUGUAUAUGUGAUAUAAUUAUUAAUAGUCUAGUACUCUUCGAAAUUCAUAGUAAAGACCGUCCUGCCAUAGAAGACUAUGGUGGAAGAGGUGCUUGUAUGAAUCAAGAAGAACCACAAAAAUAAUUUAUUUUAUGAUGCCUGAGAUUCAUGUUAAUAAAUCUAAAAUUUAUUUAGUUAUGUAUGAGAUACAUAAUAUGUUUUAAUAUGUAUGAGAUGUAUGUUGUUAAAUCUCACCUUGCAAGAGAUGCAUGUUUAUUAGAUCUAAAAAUUGCAUGAAAUGCAUGCUUGUUAGAUCUAAAAAUAGCAUGAGAUAUAGAUUGGAAGAUACAUAAGAUGUAUAUAAUUAGAUCUAAUCUUUGAUAAAUAUAUGUAAUAUAUUUGACCAUGUUUAGAUCAGAUUUUAUACUUAUGUAUGAGAUACAUAGAUUAUUAAUUUAGAUCUGAAAGUAGUUUCGAUAUCUAAACUACCUCAUAUUCAUAAUGUACUUCAUUAAAGAUCUAAAAUUAUGAAUUAAAGAUCUAAAAUUAAGUAUUAAGAAUAUGAAAUUAAGAUUAAAAUCUAAAAUUAAAAAUUUAAGAUCUUAAUCUUAAGCAUAAAAUAUGAAGAUUUAGGCAUGGAUAGUUCAAUUAGAUCUAGUAAUUCAAUUACUUUUGGAUAAUCAAUUGGUAUAUGGUGGGGCUCAAUUAAGAUGAGUAGUUGACCCAACCCAAUCAAGAGUUGAUUAGGAUUUGGUCAAGAGUGCUUGAGAUCAGCUCAGUAGUUGUAAAUUGAUUAUAUCGAUUAAGAGCC
rnacentral:lncRNA from 1 species